rnacentral:rRNA from 1 species
UGCGUAGGCGGCUUUCUAAGUCGGAUGUGAAAACUCUGGGCUCAACCCAGAGCCUGCAUCUGAAACUGGAGAGCUAGGGUUCUGGAGGGGAAAGCGGAAUUCCUGGUGUAGCGGUAAAAUGCGUAGAUAUCAGGAGGAACACCGGUGGCGAAGGCGGCUUUCUGGACAGAUACCGACGCUGAGGCACGAAAGCUAGGGAGCAAACA